rnacentral:tRNA from 1 species
GCCGUUGCUCGGUGGAAGACCAUCUGCUUGGCGUGCAAAAGGUCCCGGGUUCAAUUCCUGGCAUCUCCA